CUAACCGCGCAAAGGUAGCGUAAUCACUUGUUCUUUAAAUGAGGACUUGUAUCAACGGCAUCACGAGGGUUUUACUGUCUCCUUUCUCUAAUCAGUGAAACUAACCUCCCCGUGAAGAAGCGAGGAUAUAUAUAUAAGACGAGAAGACCCCAUGGAGCUUUAAACCUAGCUACAAUCCAAUUUCUUAAGCCUGCUCAUUAAACAGGAUCAUGUAUGCUCAGUUUUAGGUUGGGGUGACCACGGAGCACAACAAAACCUCCUUGAUAAAAGAAGCUACUUUCUUAUCCGAGAGCCACACCUCUAAGAAUUAAUAUAUUAAUAUAAAAUGAUCCGAUAAUCGAUCAACGGACCAAGUUACCCUGGGGAUAACAGCGCAAUCCAUUUCAAGAGCUCCUAUCGACAAAUGGGUUUACGACCUCGAUGUUGGAUCAGGAUAUCCUAGUGGUGCAGCAGCUACUAAAGGUUCGUUUGUUCAACGAUUAAAAUCCUACGUGAUCU
rnacentral:rRNA from 1 species